UUAAGUUCAGCGGGUAUUCCUACCUGAUCCGAGGUCAACCUUGGUAAAGUUGGGAUUUUACGGCGUGGCACCACCACUAUCCAGCUGCGAGGUACCGCUACUACACAGAGGAGAUCGCGGUAGAGCCGCCACUGCAUUUCGGGGCCGCCUCCGGGGGGAGGCCGAUCCCCAACACCAGUUCCCGCGAACGGGCCCUGAGG
rnacentral:misc_RNA from 1 species